rnacentral:rRNA from 1 species
AGAGUUUGAUCCUGGCUCAGGAUGAACGCUAGCGGCAGGCUUAAUACAUGCAAGUCGAGGGGCAGCACGAAUAGCAAUAUUUGGUGGCGACCGGCAAACGGGUGCGGAACACGUACGCAACCUUCCCGAAACAGGUGAAUAGCCCUCCGNAAAGGAGGAUUAAUACACCGUGAGAUAUGGGUGUGGCAUCACACUUAUAUUAUAGGUAGCAAUACCGGUUUUGGAUGGGCGUGCGCCUGAUUAGGUAGUUGGUGCGGGUAACGGCCCACCAAGCCUCCGAUCAGUAACUGGUGUGAGAGCACGACCAGUCACACGGGCACUGAGACACGGGCCCGACUCCUACGGGAGGCAGCAGUAAGGAAUAUUGGUCAAUGGACGGAAGUCCGAACCAGCCAUGCCGCGUGAAGGAUGACUGUCCUCUGGGUUGUAAACUUCUUUUAUCUGGGACGAAAAAAGGGAAUUCUUUCUCACUUGACGGUACCAGAGGAAUAAGCACCGGCUAACUCCGUGCCAGCAGCCGCGGUAAUACGGAGGGUGCAAGCGUUAUCCGGAUUUACUGGGUUUAAAGGGUGCGUAGGUGGGCAGGAAAGUCAGUGGUGAAAUCUCCGGGCUUAACCCGGAAACUGCCAUUGAUACUAUUUGUCUUGAAUACUUUGGAGGUAAGCGGAAUAUGUCAUGUAGCGGUGAAAUGCUUAGAUAUGACAUAGAACACCAAUUGCGCA